CAGCACAAAAUAGAGUUGAUGGGUUACUAAAAAAUUUGGUGUGUAUGUGUUUGUGUAUGUGUCUGUGUGUGUGUGGUUAAUGUGGAUCUCAGAGUGCUUAGAAGGAGCAAUGGGAAGAUAAAUAGUGUUAAAAUAUACUGUAUGUAUGUGUGUGUGUGUGUAUGUGUGUGUAUGUAUCUAUGUAUGUAUGUAUGUAUGAACAUAUGUAUAUAUUUGUAUAUGAGAUUGUCAAAGUACUUAUGAAAUAUUUUAAGUGAUACUUUGGUUGUAGUGAGAAAGGUGUUAGAUGCUACAGCCAGAGAAAGCUGAGAGUAGAUUCAUAUAGAAUUUACACUUCUUUAUCACUUUCAUAGUGGUCUAGAAUGAAAUUGCUUUCCCUGUAAAAGCCUAAAAGAAUUAAAGCUUAUAGCUGAUAUUCUGGCAGUUUACUUUUUUACUCAGAGAGAAUCGUGGUUAUAAGGCAUUUAAUUUAGGUAGCACAUAUCAUGAUUACUUUAAUUAAAAUGAGUUCCUAAGUAGCUAUAAUUUUAUAAAAUUACAUUGAAGUACUUUGAAAGGAAAAUAGGUAUUUGAAUUAUAGACAAGAUUUUUUCCAUCAGUACACAUUAUUUUAAAAAUGAACAUAAAGUUCUAUAGUAAAAUUUUAUAAAAAUAAGCAAGCUACACUUUCAUGUUUAUAAAUUUUGUUGAUGUUUAUAGAUUUCUUAAAUGAGUGUGUGUUUUAUUUUUAGGUUUUCUAGAUGCUCUAAAGAUGCAAUGAUAGCAUCACUACGGGGACUAUAUUAAUUGCAUAUAAGACAGAUAAUGAGCUUCCUCUCACUCCUAAGGGCAGUCAGAGUCUGAGCCUUCCACACCCUGCUCUCGGGUGCUUUGUAUGUCACUUCCUGUUCCUGAUUCAUAAAGGAAGAUCUGGGUCACAAGGGUCAUUGCCAUGGUAGCCCUCUUCCUACUGAGGGUAUUCCCUGACCCACAUCUUGUAGGUAUUGGAAGAAAUUAGGACACAUGAUCAACAGUUCAUGUGGAUUUGCCAACUGACCUGACACUGACUCUGGCCUAAAGAAGAACACCCCCCACCCCACCUGUCUCCUAAUGAGUAGCCUUCUGGAGGCUAUGUUAUGUUUCUUAUGCUUUUGUUUUAGAAAACAAUAGUAAAAGAAAGGCGGUAUGAAAGAGGAAAAGGAAAGGAAAGGAAAAGAGAAAAGGAGAGGAGAGGGGAGACGAAAGGAGGGAAUAUAAGAGAGAUGACCAUAAAAAUAGGUACAUUUUAUAUUUUUGUGGUGUUACAGCCUUGAAAUGUCAAGACACAGGAGGUAAAGACAAGAGAAACAAGAGUUCAAGAUCAUCCCUGGGUACACAGUGAGUUUGAGGCCAACUUGCACUACUUAAGAUCCUGUAUAACACACACACACACACACACACACACACACACACACACACACACACACAGUAAAAUAUUAGCUCAGUAAUUUUAUUUAAAUCUCAAAAAAUGGUGGACAUCUAUUCUUCCCACUUGUAGCAGUCAUUGUAGGAGGAUCCCAAUAUCCGGGUCAGCCCGAGAAACAGAGGCAGUCCCUGCCUUAAAAUAUGACCCCUUACAAAUUAACCAAAUGACAAACUCAUCAACAGUAAUACCUUCGAAAAUGAUGACCUCAACUUCCUGUCAUGACUGAUUUUACUAUUUCUGCUUUAAAUUUUAGCGUUCUGAGAAGCACAAGCAAAAUCUUAAGAAAACAUGACACAUAGAAGAAUGAAAAUUCUCAUGUUUAUAUUAGCUUGUUGAAAGGUACAUGUUUGGAUUAAAAGUCUGAAUCAGUUUAUAAAAAAGCUACCCCUGUAAUCAUAAACAAGAAAUUCUGGACUCAUUUAUUCAAACCUUGUAUGAAGUUCACCACUCAUCACUCCUUAGUACAGAUAAGGUAUUUUCACAAUAUUGCUGACAUUUUGGAAACUUUAGUAGCUAUAUUUAUUUUUAUAUUGUACCUAAUGCUUGACAUUGGUGCAUACCAUAGCUCAGAAAAGGGUACUGAAUUUGGAAGAGGAAAAAGAACUCAAAUACACAAUUCCACACAGUGAUCAACACUGCAUGAAUACAAGACCAUACAACGCCUGACUUUUCAGAUGUACUAAACAUUGGAACAAACUGGGUUGAAGCCGCAUGAAAAAGAAUUUUCCCAGCAAGUGGGAGGCGUGUUCCUUAAUUACCAGAAACAUAAAAAUGAAUGGUUAAAUGAAAAGAACUUUAAAAAUUUAAAACUUCAUACAUACCUAAACUUGGUCUUGAAGAGGGGUGAAAACUACAUCUCUCUGUGGGUAUAGAUGGAUAUUAGGAAUUAUUCUCAUUUCGUAAGUUAGUGGUUGUGAUUGUAUCUCCUAGUAACAUCAGAAGCUACACCCUUAAAAUCUCACCAACAUGAACAACCAGAUGUGUGCUGAGCAAAGAUGACACCAAUAAACGUGUCAAAUGGAAAUGGGAAAUAUCAGGAAGCCUCUACCCUACACAGAGAACUAUAGGCAAUGCAGACAAAUGAGUAGAGCUGAGAGCAGGAGUGGUGGUCCUUCCCAGGAGGAGCAUAACAACUGGUUGUCUAGGAUCAAACUGUCCAUGCUGAAAACACACAUACAAAUCACAUUAUAUAGAAUCAGAUUAUAUUUAGAACUAUAUAUAUGUAUGUACAACUACAUAUAUGCAUGAACAAUUAAUGAAAAAAGAUACAUGAAUUUGAAGGAGAAUAUCACAGGAUUAUAGGACAGUUUAGAGGGAGGAAAGGGAAGGAAGAUAUAUUGGAAUUAAAUUACAGUCUCAAAGAAGCAAACCUGAUUUCCUUUUUAAAUCUUCAGAUAUACCAAUAAUAGAAACAUUGCCAGUACAUGAGGGAGAGAUUUCUCUAUAUUUUAUUCCCAGUGUACCUCCUGUCAUCUUAAAAGAGUAUCACCUUUCUGUAGAUACCAUCAUUCUGCACACUUCCUCCCAGAUUGAGAAGUCUGAGUCGUGUAAUGGGAAGAGGCAAAAGCAUUGGGUAUGUGGUAUCAGUGUAGGAGACAAGAAUAGCAAUGGGUACUUAUUUAGUGCCCUUCUUCUUAAUCUGUGACCAAUGCCCCCUGGUAGUAGCAAAUCCUGAAGGUAGACUUCAAGAUCACAAACAAAACUACAAGAAAGCAUCUUUAUGUUCUAUUAGCACCAUUAAAGAAAUGCAUAGCUGACUUCAAAGUAAGAUUUUACAGAAUAAGAAGGACUCUAGGAAAUAAGAGAGUGAUGGGGAUGGCACUCUAGUAGACUGCACAAGUUGCCAUGAGCAAACACAAAAAAGGUCUAUCUGUCAAUCACUUAAUCUAUCAUCUGCCCUCUAUUACUUGACAUGAAAGCAGAUAGAAGACUAUUUAGGACAAAACAGAGACCAGAGAAGAUGGGAAGAUUGGAGGUCAGCGUGAGAAAGAUACCACAGCUCAACAUGUACAUGCAGCGCCUGCAAAGACUAGAGAGAGCAUUGGGAGCGGCCCAUGCAGGAGCUGAAACUGAACUUGUAUCAGCUGGAAGCUCUGCACAUGCUCACCACCAUUGAACAAUUUCUCCAGAUCCAAAACAUGGAAGAUUCUGCCAAGAGCAAGCCUUAAUAUUUUUCUUUUGAAAGACUUCCAUUCAUUGAUUUGCUCUUGUAUUCACUUACUUUCCUUCAAAUUAUCAAUGGAUUUUAUUCAAUUAAAAGGGAGAUUGGGAUCCAUUGUCUGAAUGUUGGGAAUUUAUGACAUACGGAUACUGAUGGGCUUCUGAAAAUGCUUCUCUCUGAACAAUAAAGAAGACGGAAAUUGAUUUCAAAAGAACUAAUCCUCCAAGAUCGUCUUCUCAUGAACACAGAAGAGCAUGAGGAGCACCAUGUGAACGAAGAGCGUGCUAGACACAGACCAGCAUCCAGCUAACUGGGCCAGGAACUCUGUGAGCUUUCUAGAACAGGGUGUAAACAUCAAUUAUUUUUCAAUAAUGCAAAGACUUGUGUGUUAGACAAAUAGAGUAAACAGAA